rnacentral:tRNA from 1 species
GCCGACACUGCAGAGUGGGAGAUCUGCACCAGACUGUAAAUCUGGCGUCACUGACUUUGGGAGUUCGAGUCUCUCUGGCGGCACAA